UGUUGACCAAGAUCCACAUCACUGCA
rnacentral:piRNA from 1 species